GAGUUUGAUCAUGGCUCAGAACGUACGCUGGCGGCACGCCUAACACAUGCAAGUCGAACGAAGUAGCAAUACUUAGUGGCGAACGGGUGAGUAUAAUGUGGGUAUCUGCCUUUUGGUUUGGAAUAACACGGGGAAACUUGUGCUAAUACCGGAUAAGCCUUUACAGGGAAAGUUUUAACGCCAAAAGAUGAGCCCGCACUUGAUUAGCUAGUUGGUAAGGUAAUGGCUUACCAAGGCUACGAUCAAUAGCUGAUCUGAGAGGAUGAUCAGCC
rnacentral:rRNA from 1 species